GAUAUUCAGUUUUCUUUUUGCCCAACCUUGUCAGUCUGGUGCUAAAAAGAUUGAUUUCAAAUUGGUUUCUCAAAUACGAGCAGACGAUUUAGAAAGAAGAAUCUCAAGUGUUUUAAUAAAUUUGAUUUUCAUUCAAAGUCAAUCUCAUAAUCAAAUGGAGAAUAAGAUAAUCAAAAUGCCAAGAUAAAAGAUUAAUGCUGUUAUAUA